UUGGCGGACAUUACCUACCCAAAAUACACACUUCUUUACAUUCCAUAGCAUUCUAUGUUCAUAUGGGUACAUAAAGAAGUAUGUGCUCUGAGUAGGCACUAUUGUGCCGAU
ensembl:miRNA Mir3571 microRNA 3571